rnacentral:rRNA from 1 species
GGCUCAGAAUCAACGCUGGCGGCGCGCUUAACACAUGCAAGUCGAACGAGAAAGCCGGGGCAACCUGGUGAGUAAAGUGGCGUACGGGUGAGUAACACGUGGGUGAUCUACCCUCUGGUGGGGAAUAACCCUGGGAAACUGGGGCUAAUACCGCAUAAGUCCGCGAGGAGAAAGUCGCAAGACGCCGGAGGAGGAGCCCGCGGCCGAUUAGCUAGUUGGUGAGGUAACGGCCCACCAAGGCUAUGAUCGGUAGCCGGCCUGAGAGGGCACACGGCCACACUGGCACUGAAACACGGGCCAGACUCCUACGGGAGGCAGCAGUGGGGAAUCUUGCACAAUGGGGGCAACCCUGAUGCAGCGACGCCGCGUGAGCGAUGAAGCCCUUCGGGGUGUAAAGCUCUUUCGGCAGGAACGAUAAUGACGGUACCUGCAGAAGAAGCUGCGGCUAACUACGUGCCAGCAGCCGCGGUAAUACGUAGGCAGCAAGCGUUGUUCGGAGUUACUGGGCGUAAAGAGUGCGUAGGCGGUCCUUUAAGUUCGGUGUGAAAUCUCCCGGCUCAACUGGGAGGGUGCGCCGGAAACUGGAGGGCUCGAGUAUGGGAGAGGAAAGCGGAAUUCCUGGUGUAGCGGUGAAAUGCGUAGAUAUCAGGAGGAACACCUGCGGUGUAGACGGCUUUCUGGACCAUGACUGACGCUGAGGCACGAAAGCGUGGGGAGCAAACAGGAUUAGAUACCCUGGUAGUCCACGCCCUAAACGAUGCAUACUUGGUGUAGGCCGUUCAGUCGGUCUGUGCCGGAGCUAACGCGUUAAGUAUGCCGCCUGGGGGAGUACGGUCGCAAGGCUGAAACUCAAAG